GAUGAACGCUGGCGGCGUGCCUAAUACAUGCAAGUCGAGCGAAUGGAUUAAGAGCUUGCUCUUAUGAAGUUAGCGGCGGACGGGUGAGUAACACGUGGGUAACCUGCCCAUAAGACUGGGAUAACUCCGGGAAACCGGGGCUAAUACCGGAUAACAUUUUGAACCGCAUGGUUCGAAAUUGAAAGGCGGCUUCGGCUGUCACUUAUGGAUGGACCCGCGUCGCAUUAGCCAGUUGGUGAGGUAACGGCUCACCAAGGCAACGAUGCGUAGCCGGCCGGAGAGGGUGAUCGGCCACACUGGGACUGAGACGCGGCCCAGACUCCUACGGGAGGCAGCAGUAGGGAAUCUUCCGCAAUGGACGAAAGUCUGACGGAGCAACGCCGCGUGAGUGAUGAAGGCUUUCGGGUCGUAAAACUCUGUUGUUAGGGAAGAACAAGUGCUAGUUGAAUAAGCUGGCACCUUGACGGUACCUAACCAGAAAGCCACGGCUAACUACGUGCCAGCCGCCGCCGUAA
rnacentral:rRNA from 1 species